AGUUUUCUAGUUAGAUUUCUAGGCUAGUUUUUCUGAUACUCUGAUUUUCCAGAAGUUUGAGUGUUGGUUCUUGGUUUUCUGGGAUGGUUCCUACUGCUGCUGUUUGGUUUUGGUUGCUGCUCCAUCUCUAAGUCUUCAUCCAGCAUUUUCACUUAUUUUCCUGCUGUCUUUUUUACUUGUCAAGGUACUGAUUUCAACUCUCUCUUAAUGUACUGUUUUAUUUGAAUGUUAUAAGAUCAUAAUCUGCAAAUUAUAUUUAAUGAAUGAGUGUUCUUUCAUGUAGUAGUUGAUUACUUUGUUAUACAUCUAGUUAAUUUGUUGCUAUAUGAGUUUAAGGGUAGAAAUGAACUAGUAUGUACACUUUGUUUGGUAUAACGAUACCUGUAGUUCCCUCUUAAAAAUGGCUAAAUUUGAAUUUUUUUUAAUUACAAUUCUAUGCUGAUUCUGAAACUUUGAUUGCUAAAUUUGUUUUUCUUUCUUCUUCUACACAAUGAUAAUUACAUAGUGUUUUGUUUGAGGUCAUGUGGCCUAUGGGCUAUAACUUGUGGAUUUGGCCACUAGUUGGCCAAAUUAGCAUAUUUUGAAAGCUAAAAACUGAAUUUUGUUUUGUUGUUAUUAUGCUGAAGUUGAGGGCUUCAUGUGGUGAACUGAACUUUUGAUUGGAUCAACUAUAUCCAAAAAGGGGGCAAGAGUCCACUAGGUUGUCAAUUUCCCUAAAUAUUGUAAUACAAUUAGUUGAGGUAUUCUUCUCCUAGAAUUCAAAUGUAAUAGAUUAGUUAUUAAUAUAGUAGUUUAUAUAUUAAUGGGCCAUAAUGUAACGUUCUGAUUUUUGACAGCUUUAUUCUUACCUAAUGC
rnacentral:lncRNA from 1 species